rnacentral:RNase_P_RNA from 1 species
GAACCGGGAGGGGAGGAAAGUCCGGGCAACGCAGGGCGCCGCACUGGUGAAACUGCCAGACGGACGUAAGUUCGUGCAUCCGUAACAGAGAAUAACCGCCGCAACCGCGCGUUUCCUUUCGGGGAAACCGGCCAGGCAAGGGUGAAAAGGUGGGGUAAGAGCCCACCGGUGCCGGUGGCGACAUCGGCAGCCGUACGGACUGCGGGUUGCAAGACCAUGUACACCGAUGCUGUUCCGUGCCGGGAUUCCGAUCCGGGUACGGCACUGAAGGGCGGCCCGUCCGAGUCGGGGGGUAGGUUGCUGACGAUCCGGCGGGAGACCGCCGGGCUGGAUAAAUGGCAGAGGCUUUUCCGAAAGGGCAGAACAUCGCUUUAUGCGGACUGUCCCGGCCGGAAAAGUACAGAACCCGGCUUAUACCCCUUG